rnacentral:rRNA from 1 species
AUACGUAAGUCGCAAGCAUUAUCCGGAAUCACUGGGCGUAAAGCGAUCGAAGGCGGACUUAUAAGUCUGAUGUUAAAUACCCACGGCUCAACCGGGGUGCUGCAUUGGAAACUGUAAGUCUGGAGUAAUGCAGAGGAAGCUGGAAUUUCCAUUGUAGGGGUAAAAUCCGUAGAUAAUGGAAGGAACACCAAAAGCGAAGGCAGGCUUCUGGGCAUUUACUGACGCUGCGCGAUCGAAAGCGUGGGGAGCGAAAGGGAUUAGAUACCCCUGUAGUCCACGCCGUAAACGAUGAGUACUCGAUGUACGGAGGUAUAAUCCCUCUGUGUGUCCAAGUUAACACGUUAAGUACUCCGCCUGGGGACUACGGUCGCAAGACUAAAACUCAAAGGAAUAGACGGGGUCCACACAAGCGGUGGAGCAUGUGGUUUAAUUCGAUAAUAAGCGGGGAACCUUACCAGGACUUGACAUCCUGAUCAUACGUUCUGGAACAGAAUGGUCAGUUCGGCUGGAUCAGUGAC